rnacentral:rRNA from 1 species
GGAUUAGAUACCCUGGUAGUCCACGCCGUAAACGAUGAGCACUUGGUGGUGGGGGAUUCGACCCUUUCACUGCCGGAGUUAACGCAUUAAGUGCUCCGCCUGGGGACUACGAUCGCAAGAUUGAAACUCAAAGGAAUUGACGGGGACCCGCACAAGCGGUGGAUUAUGUGGUUUAAUUCGAUGCAACGCGAAGAACCUUACCUAGACUUGACAUGUUAGUGAAAGCUUUGUGAAAGCAAAGGCCUUUAUAGGCUUGCCUAUAAACACUAUCACAGGUGAUGCAUGGCUGUCGUCAGCUCGUGCCG